AAUUCACCGUGCUGAAGUCUAGUUGCGAUUCCACUUUGACGAAGUCAUCACAUUUUAAGAUCUAACCAUACGAGCGGAUUCUUCUUUCCGGACCAGAGAUAUGCACUUUGAAACGAAGAGGGAGUUUCCCUCUAGAUACCAUGGACAAAAAACCAAGAAAGCAACGAGCAUCUUAAUAAUAGUGGUCUGUAUCUGCUGGCAAGUAAGCACAACUGCGGCUAGUACCACAACUGCCCCAACAACAACUGCAGCCCCUACUACCACAAGUGCUCCAACAACUGCAGACAAUACGACCA